rnacentral:rRNA from 1 species
UCGGGAAUUUUGGGCAAUGGGCGAAAGCCUGACCCAGCAACGCCGCGUGAAGGAUGAAGUAUUUCGGUAUGUAAACUUCGAAAGAAUAGGAAGAAUAAAUGACGGUACUAUUUAUAAGGUCCGGCUAACUACGUGCCAGCAGCCGCGGUAAUACGUAGGGACCAAGCGUUGUUCGGAUUUACUGGGCGUAAAGGGCGCGUAGGCGGCAAUUCAAGUCAUCUGUGAAAUCUCCGGGCUUAACUCGGAACGGUCAGAUGAUACUGCUUUGCUAGAGUGCAGAAGGGGCAAUCGGAAUUCUUGGUGUAGCGGUGAAAUGCGUAGAUAUCUGGAGGAACACCAAAGGCGAAGGCAGCUUACUAGACGAGAUCUGACGCUCAGGCACGAAAGCGUGGGGAGCAAAAAGGAUUAGAUACCCAAGUAGUCCCUGAGCGGGCUGGCAAGGCGCAU